CGAAAACUAUACGUUAUAUAAAACUAAAGUUCUAAUUGUUUGCCUGUUUGUUUAUGCAUAACACAAUAUACAAAGUUGUAAUGAAACACAAACGAGAGUAAGAACACAGAGAAAGUUCUGAGAACGUAAUGAAUCGAUCUCCUUAACGAUCGAGUGAAGUCAGCCUAGGAAUGCUCUCACGAAAGUAUUAGGAUCAUUCUCGGUUUUUUCAAGUGGUAAGUUUCAAAACGAAAAAACACAUAUUAACCGAUAUAUUAUUUGAAUAAAAUAAACUGAAUAGUAUUUGUGCAAUGCAAAAAAUGCAAAAUGAACUGAUAACGAGAUGAUUGUAUCUUAUACAGAAAUAGGUGAAUGCAUACCAAAUGAAACCUCAGCCUUAAAGAGUUCUAGCUCGAAGCCAGUGUCUUUGUGAGCUUUCAUCGGUAGUUAACAUAAAUAUUCAAACAAGGCAUCAGGAAACAAAAAGAAAUCACAAGCAUAAGGACCAAACAAGUAGCAAGAAAACCUUAUCCCAGCAUUCCCUUACCCCUAUUCACUAUGAUGUUUGAAGUUACAGAUUCACAUUGGAGAAGCAGUAAAGUAUUUCAGAUGAGAACAUGAAGAAUGGUAUGAAGAAAGGAACAUUUGGAGCUUGAAACCGUUGUGUGAACGACUUGAGAGACUUGGGAAAAGGAUGCUUGGAGGUGCAGCCUCGGUUGGGAGCUUGAAGGUUAAAAAGUGUUCAUGACGUUACCGUUUGAAGAUCGAAUUUGGCAUGAAUCUUUUUGAAAAAGCCUUGUAAUUUUGCUAGUUUUAGAAUACAUCUUUUGUAAUUCAAGUGACAAUUGUAACUUAAAUUUUGUAAUUCACCUCUUUUGUAAUUCAAGUGACACACCCUUUUUUAGCAUUCCUAUAAA